UGCCAGACUCCUACGGGAGGCAGCAGUGAGGAAUAUUGGUCAAUGGCCGAGAGGCUGAACCAGCCAAGUCGCGUGAGGGAUGACGGCCCUACGGGUUGUAAACCUCUUUUGUCGGGGAGCAAAGAGGCCUCGUGAGGUCAAAAGCGAGAGUACCCGGAGAAAAAGCAUCGGCUAACUCCGUGCCAGCAGCCGCGGUAAUACGGAGGAUGCGAGCGUUAUCCGGAUUUAUUGGGUUUAAAGGGUGCGUAGGCGGGAUGCCAAGUCAGCGGUAAAAAUGCGGUGCUCAACGCCGUCGAGCCGUUGAAACUGGCGUUCUUGAGUGGGCGAGAAGUAUGCGGAAUGCGUGGUGUAGCGGUGAAAUGCAUAGAUAUCACGCAGAACUCCGAUUGCGAAGGCAGCAUACCGGCGCCCUACUGACGCUGAGGCACGAAAGCGUGGGUAUCGAACAGGAUUAGAUACCCUGGUA
rnacentral:rRNA from 1 species